rnacentral:rRNA from 1 species
UGUUUCAAUUUUAUUAAUAGAAUUUUAUUUUUAAGUUAAAAAGCUUAAAUAAAGUUUAAAGACGAGAAGACCCUAUAGAGUUUUACUAAAAAUUUAAUUAUGAAUUUUAGAAAUUUUAUUUUUUAAUUUAAUUUAAGUUUUGUUGGGGUGACAAAAAAAUUAAACUAACUUUUUUUUUAUUAAUACAAUAAUAAUUGAAUUAUUGAUCCAAAAAAAUGAUUAAAAGAUUAAAUUACCUUAGGGAUAACAGCG